GAGUGAGGACAAGUAGAAGGCAUUAGAACUGCCUUUGUAUUCCAAACUAGUAAAUCCACAGCAGCACUGCAUUCUGUAGAGACUUGUAGAGAUUAGUGCCUCUAUAAAAGAUUUAAAAGAUGCAGGGCUGGUGAUUUUCACCACACCUCCAUUCAACUCAACUAUCUGGCCUGUGCAGAAGACAGAUGGAUCUUGAAGAAUGACAAAGGAUUAUUGUAAACUUAAUCAGGUGGAAAUUGAUUGCCUCUUCAUUUCACAACACACCACAUGGAUCCUCUACACUGGUGGACCAGGAAAUCGCAACUACUUUAGACACCUUGCUCUUGGCUCUUUGCUGGAUCCUAGUAUUUGACCAUGGACCAUUAAGUAUCAUGUGACCAGAAAUGCCCCCUAUGAAAUGAGUAUUGCUUAACCCACCACCAUGUUCUGUUGGUUAUAAUCAAGUCACAGAGCCAGUCCAGAUCAAGGGGAAGGAAUUAUGCAAAAUUCCGAAUACUGAGAGACAUAGUUCAUUGGAAGACCAUCUUUGGAAACCAGCAGCUAUCACAGUUUCCUUGGAUAUUUUCUGAAUAGAGAGAUUCUUACAUUAAUAACUGUUCUCUUCACCAAUAAAUAUUUAUGGAGAACAUACAGUAUGUGCAGAACCUGAACAUAAGUGGAAGAAACAGGGAAAGCAUUGCACCUUCCUCAAAGUUUGUGCAUUCUACCAUGAAAUAUUCACACUAACAUUGAAGCUAAGAGUAGGCUGGAAAUCCCAGAAGUGAAAAUUAAUAUACUGGUACUGAUGGUCAAUGGGUGUAUUAUAGCUCUCUGUGGUGAAAUAAAUAGAUUGAUAAUGGGCUUCUGUAUAUAGUUGUAUCAACAAUAAAACGAUGGAAUGCUUUCUAGCUCAAGAUUUUUACAACCCAAUGAUCCUUAAUCUGGUAACUCAUUCCUCAUAAGACUCAUUCCUCAUAAGACCUGCUUACCUCAAAGAAUUGUUUAUGAGGAUACGUUAAAAUAAGUAUCAGAAAGGACCUUGUAAACUAUAAACAAUGGUACAAAUGUAAGAGACAGUUAUUGCAUUUUCAAAAAGAACUCAUAAUAGGCGUGAUGUAAAUAUUUGUUGAAUAAAUGAAUGAGAAAAUAAAAUAAAUUCUUGAGACA
rnacentral:lncRNA from 10 species